rnacentral:rRNA from 1 species
UACGUAGGGACCGAGCGUUGUCCGGAUUCAUUGGGCGUAAAGAGCUCGUAGGCGGCUGUUCAAGUCGAACGUGAAAACUCGGAGCUCAACUCCGAGCCUGCGUUCGAUACUGGAUGGCUAGAGUCUGGUAGGGGGAUCUGGAAUUCCUGGUGUAGCGGUGGAAUGCGCAGAUACCUGCAGGAACACCCGUGGCGAAAGCGGCGCGCUGGACCACUACUGACGCUGAGGAACGAAAGCUAGGGGAGCAAACAGG